rnacentral:ncRNA from 1 species
UCAUAUUCCAAUAAACUAGGUGCCUUUGCGGAUGCAAAGGGUAACAGGGAAUCGGGUGCAAAUCCCGAGCGGUCCCGCCACUGUAUACAGGGAGUUUUCUUUUCGAACGUCACUUGGGUAAAACCGGGGAAGACAAAAGAAAACGUCGAUCUGAAGCCAGGAGACCUACCUAGUUUGUAUCGCCAUA